CUACGGGUCGCAGCAGUUAGGAAUAAUCUACAAUGCGCGCAAGCGUGAUAGUUUGAGCCAGAGUGCUUAUCAUUUGAUCAGCUUUUGCCGAAUGUAAAAAGUUCGGCGAAUAAGGACUGGGCGAGACUGGUGCCAGCCGCCGCGGUAAUACCAGCGGUCCAAGUCGCAGCCACUUUUAUUGGGUCUAAAACAUCCGUAGCUUGCUUAGAAAGUUUCCUGUGAAAUCCGGCUUCUUAAGAGUUGGGCGGGCAGGAAAUACUACUGGGCUAGAGACUGGGAGACGUAAGAAGUACGUUCAAAGUAGCGGUUAAAUGUGUUAAUCUUGGACGGACUAACAAGAGCGAAGGCAUCUUACGAGAACAGUUCUGACAGUCAGGGAUGAAGGCUAGGGGCGCAAAACGGAUUAGAUACCCUGGUAGUC
rnacentral:rRNA from 1 species